UACUUUAUUAUACAAUAAAAUUAUUAAUGAAAGAUCUUUUUAAAUAAAAAACAUUAUGCGCCAGCUAAAUUGAACUCAUGAAUUAGGCAGUAAUACUGACCUCACUUUGGUGUAGAUGCGAUGUUACCAUAGGAGCCCACUUUGUUGUCAACCAGACUCUACCCGAAGAGAAGUGCAUUUUGUAUCAGCGAUUAAAACAUAAAAGUGGGUUGAAGUGGUUCUGCAUCUUGGUCCCUGUUAAAUAGUCUAGUCUUUGAUUUAGAGUAAAUAUUGUUAAAUUAAUGUUUAAUAUAAUAUUACAUUGCCGGUUUGAAUAUGACCAUUAAUGUAAACUAUACUAUAUCUUGUUAUCACCCUCGCGAUUGUCCUAUAUUCUGUUAGGUUGAAUUUAGGUUGAAUUUCAAACUUCGAAAGCUUCACAAAAACGUUACUGAGACUUAAGCUCAAAACCACUUCCAAUAUUAUAGAUUAAUUAAUCUGUUAAGUUUCAUAAGGGGGAAGUCUGGAAACCAGAUAAGGUUUUCAAGAUUCACAACGAUUACUAAUACCUAAUUAAAACACUUUCUGGUCAAGUAUACAGGAUAAACGACGUUUUCUGUUGCGAACUAAAGAGUAUUUCCCAUUGAUGGCAAAUUUAAUUGCCGAUGUAUUGGUGAGAAAUCAGUCAAGCACCGAUAACCAUACUACACAACAGAUAGGCCAUAGUGUAUUGAACUUUUAAUAUUCCAAUGAACUGUAGAUUAGUCCCUACCCUCUUCUAUGGCACGAUGGGGUAUAUACGUGUACGUCAGAGAUACAAUGAUGAGUGGCUUAAUGAAAUAUAUUCACUCACUAGUAAACUCACUACGAUUCUGAGAACACGGUACUAACCUAGUUUUUCGCAAACGAGCAACUGAACAUCGUCGGAUACCCAAGUUAUGCCGCUUCACUUCAUUAAGUUUUACGGAAUUAUAAGUGGCAGAAGUGCGUUCAGGUUUUUGGUUCUUGUCUUAAUGUGGCUUUAAUGAAAACUAUUAAACCAUUACAGACCAUGGCCACGGUGAUAGUAAACUUAGCAAAAUAAAAUAAAUAUCGAAGUCUGCAUGUGCAACAAAUAAACCUUGAGCAUUCAGAUAUUGACAUAAAAAUAUAUUAUUAUUGAUAGAUGCUACCGUUUUUGUUUCAGUUUAACGCGUAUCGUCGCACUAUUGUUUUUCGUUUAAAUCGCACUGACUUUAACAAGAAGUUACGUCUUUAUCAAAUAGUUGAUGGAUGGUUUAUCAAUCUGUGUCAUAUACCAAUUAUCAAUUUUCAAAGUUCAUAAGAUAUAAUGAUAAACCCGAGGUAAUUUAUUUAUAAAACUGCAUCAUGUGUGUUAUCAAACACCGUACACUCUUGUAUGAAGCACUAAAUGAUUAAUUAACGAUUUAAAAUAGAUGUUUGGACUUAUGUUUGGAAUAUAACAAUGAUUUGAAUAAAAGACGUGAUAGGGAUUAUAGAUUCGAUUGAAAAAAACAACAACAGACAUGGGGUCGAUAUUCGUGCUUGGUUUACUUAGCACACUUUUGCUGCCUGUGGGUGUUUCUACCUUAUAUAAAAUUGACGCUGUUUCUUUAGUUUGCGGUAUUACAGAGCUUGCCGUGGGUAUUUACAAAGUUUACAAUGAAAACAAACAGUUGGAACGAAACAAUGAGAUACUUAUUGCGUUAUGCAGUAAAAUCGAUUCUAUUGAGAAACUCACGACUGUCAUUCCUUAUUUGUUGCAGACAAACAAAAUAGAAGAAACGCAUUUGCAAAUACAUAGUAUUAUGAUUGAUUUAAAGAAUGUAUUGGAAGCCAAAGAACCAGAACGUUCAAAAUAUAAAAGCGUUUUUGUGGCAAUAUCUCCAUUAGCGACUCCUAGAGCACCUUACCUUUCAAAACAUUAAAUACAAGCUAUUCCUGAAAUCAACAAAAAUAUCAUUGAAAAGCUUGCAGAGGACUUUACCCGUUGUAAUUUAACCGCAUUACAGGUUUUGCAAACAGAAGUGAAUGAGCUACUGUUAAAUGGUCUCCUUAUUGAACUCACGGUGUUAAGUACUUUGAACAAUUUGGAAUUCUCAAAGGUAGAAGAUUUCUGGCAAAAACUGAUUGCCGACAUUUCAUCGGAAUUCGAAAGAAUUCAAAAGAAAUGCGAAUCAAACAUUCCAGUUCUCAUUGUGCAAGAUAUGGACAAGCAUCAGAAUCCGAAACAACUUCAGCGGGCAAACAAAGAAAGAUACCUCUGGACUGGGAACGAUGUAUUUAUGUUCGACAAUGAAAUGCCAGAAAAGUUUGCUCAUUACGAUGUUCGUAAUGUCAAUGUUUUUAAUCACAGCAUCAACGGAAUGAUGAAGAUUGUAACUUAUGGGACAAACGAUUUAAAAACAUCAUCCUUUAUGGAUAUUUUGUUAGAUAUUUUGAAAGAACAAGAUAUUUACAGAUUGCUUGAUCCUAAGGAUAUUGUUCCCAGAAUAAAGAUGGGCAUGUGCAGAAGACGUCUCCGAUAUAGCGCAAUAGUGGUUUAUUUUAACUAUUUUAAUAGAAACAUCUGUGGAUCUUUAUCUUUUGUCGAAGAUACCUGGUCGAAAAUGAUAAACAUAUGGCCACCAAGACCGUUUAAUGGCAUAGCCUCGCCCCAUCUCGAGAAAAGCUGCUCGAUUAAUAUCGGCUUAACAGACGAAGAUGGUUAUGGACCUUUGCUUGCAAUUGACAAGGACAACACAAUUAAGUUAGUCUCCGUAGCAACUGAUUGGGAGUCCGCACAAAACAAUUGUAUAAAUGAAACUCGUAUUUUGAUGUCGGAGAUGCCAAGUUCUCUUUACUUGGCGAAUGUCAAGCCUGGUGACGCCAUCUGGGUGAACGCCAAAGUGACACGGAUAUAAUAUCAUGGCGGUAAAAUGGAGUAUUUAAAGUUAGCCUAUAUGCCAUCGGAGACAUUUCUGGAAAACUGCAUAUGCGUCUCAAAGACAGGUCCGAGAAGGUGUAGCCGAACAAAAACUGCUAUUAACUGGACAGAGGCCAACAAGAAAUGCACAUUCGACGGGGACACGUGGGAUCCAUUACCGAGUCACAGAAUCAAACAAACUCUUGCCAUGUUGGCAAAAGGCCCUUCUGUCUGGCUUUCGAAGUAUCCACGUUGUUAAAUAGAUGUUUUAGAUGAAACAGUUUCAAAGUGUGUUUUCUUGCAACGUUUAGAAGGCUGUAGUUUUGUAGAACGUCUCGAUAACUGCUCCAACUCUCACCGUUAUGUGCGUGCCAAAGGUAAUUCAAGGUGUACUGUAAUCCAAAAGAGAAGAAAUGGUAAUGAGAAUCUUGAAUUUUGUUUAUUUAUAAAAAUGUUUUUUAAUAUAACUUAUUUUCUCAUUCUGAUUAGUUUUGAACCCAAUUUUUGCCGACAAAAUGAGUCUAGGUGGGAAGGCAAUAUGUUGGUUACAUUAUUAUAGCCGUCCAGAAAACUGUCGAACAGUAAUGCAUUCAUCUUGAGUUUAAAUUAAUAGAAGAAAUCUUUAGCUUCGAGCAUCACUAACAUCAGUAAGUUCUAAACAUUUGGGCGCACAUGUGCCGGUUUAAACCCGAUAUGCUUUUCUUUGCAUUGACCGUUGUAAAAUUGUAAAAUUGUACUGAAAAUGGUUUCUCGACUGAAAUAAAGCACCUUAUUGCUGAUGAACCAAGUGUAAAACUUUUGUUUAAAUUUGAGGUCAGAAAAUGAGCGUUUUAAUAUAUUGUGAUAUUUUUAUGUCUGAUUGUUGUCCAGACUGCGAUAAUUAUGCCCCGACCUUGACCCGUCUUGAAACACUGAUCCAAAAAUUGAGCAUAAAUGGUGAUGCAAACGGAGAAAACAUUAGUUAUUUACCAGGUAAGGCGUUCUUAUACGUAUAGUUACACAUUGAGACAAUCACGCAUUAUCAACAGUUUAGGAAAACUUAACUGUAUAUAAAUUUAUGUAAUGUAAUUUUAUCUUAAUUUUCUUCAUUUUUGGUGGGUUGAUACACCAAGAAAACAUAAAAUUAAUUUAAAAAUCAAUAUGUCUCUCAUACAAUUUCUAGAACACAACAGCGCAAUUGGUAUGUUGCUGGCUACCUUUCGCACUUGCUGAAGCAUUCGAUCGUCACGGAUGAAUGAUUAUAUCGUUUGCUUGCACAUGCGGUAGUAAAAUGAUCACAUGUAAACUUAUAAAUCAAAAUAUGUACUCGUUCGAAAUGUCACCAAGUCUAGUACAACGCAAUAUUUCAAUUUCAUCAUUUUCGGUGGGUUGUUUACACCAGGAAAGCUUACAAUUAGUUACACGAUAUCCCCUUAACAAAUAUAGCUUAAACUAAUCCUAAAGUUAACCAACAGCUUCGGAACUUAAAUAAUAUUAAACCUGUACCAUACUUCAAAGCAAGACAAUAACUGAAAAAUCAGUGUUAACUCUUAUGUACAUGACACAAAUAUAUGUGCGAAAACAAUGUUAACUUUGUAUUCACUUCCUAGUCCAUACAAACAAGUAUAUUUUCUACUUCUUGUACACGUAUUUUAAGCGUAUAAUGUUUACCUAUAAAAAGUGCAUACGUUUGUCUAUCGUGUGCUAUGCAUUGUCUUAAAAUGUUUAUUGCAUGCAGAGUAUAACAUAUUUACAUAAUCUAUUAACACUAAUCUGUUCGCAUUUUUUAUUUUCAUUAUGAACAAGUCUUCUUACUUGUGUUACAGCGUCUUUUUUCAGAAAUAGAGUUGUUUAAGAUUAUUUAAAUACGUUAGAAAUGAUAAUCAAUUAUACCCUAAAAGUCUACGUUUAAACGAAUAUACCGUCUUCAUUUUACUAUAGAAGUAUACAGCAUGCUUUAGGCAUUCUUUUUCAAUCACCGAUCAUGUUAAGGAUUGCAAGAUAUUUUUUCGCAGUCUGUUUUCUUGCAUGUAUUGAUUAAUUUAAAGUGCAUUUUUGUAACAUUUAAAUGUUUGUUAUCUGUUCAAGCAUAUUCACCAGGAAGCAAAUGUCAAGAUAAAACUUAUCAUACACGAAAGUGUUUUAUGUUAUCCGCUGAUUCAGUUACAUUGUUACAUCACGUUUUACUGGAUAGUCGUUUCUUACAGAGAAUGGGAAAUUAAAGACUAAAUUUCCUUGUAAUAAAUCAAAGUCAAAUUGUAUAAUAACAGUUAUCAAAAAUAUUGAAUUUGUAUGGAACAUCUAAAAUUCAAUGUGAAUAAUGAAACGAUUUUUCGGUUGGAUAUUAUUUAUACCUAUACAACUUAUUGGUAAUAAAUUUUGAAAUCGUUAUAUAUAUAUUUAUUACGUUUUUAUGAUUAUGAUUAUGAUUAUUACUACUGGUUAAAGAAGUUGUUGCAACAGUCUUUGUAAAAGUAUUAUGUGUUGCUUGAUCUGUUGUUGUCGUUAAACUUGUUGUUGAUGUUGUUGUUUAUGUUGUUGCAAUUAUGGUAGUACUUUUAGUGGUAUUUGUAUAACAUGUUUUAAAUGCCGUCAUAGGAUAUACAGUUGCAAUGCGAGUAAGCGCUUAAGUGUAUUUCGAUGUAGACUUUGGCGAUUAUUUGAAAUUUAUUUAUUAUUUCGAUUAUUUAUCAAUCUAAAGUUUUCUAUGAAACUUAUUUCGGACUGUAAAUAUGUUAUGGAUGAGAACUUAAUUUCAGAUACAAUAUGUGUACAUGUGUAACAUUGCUGUUAAAAUCAUGCACUUUUUGAUACACUGGAAAAAUCAACACUAUGUAAAUGAAGAAAACUGCAGUUAUAA